GCCUCAGCUUGCUAGGGGUACUCGAGUAGGCGAACGGGUGAGUAACACGUAGGGUAGAUCUGCCCUGCACUUCGGGAUAAGCCUGGGAAACUGGGUCUAAUACCGGAUAGGACCAUCGUUUAGUGUCGGUGGUGGAAAGUUUUUCGGUGUGGGAUGAGCUCGCGGCCUAUCAGCUUGUUGGUGGGGUAAUGGCCUACCAAGGCGUACGACGGGUAGCCGGCCUGAGAGGGUGUACGGCCACAUUGGGACUGAGAUACGGCCCAGACUCCUACGGGAGGCAGCAGUGGGGAAUAUUGCACAAUGGGCGCAAGCCUGAUGCAGCGACGCCGCGUGGGGGAUGACGGCCUUCGGGUUGUAAACUCCUUUCGUCAGGGACGAAGCGAAAGUGACGGUACCUGGAUAAGAAGCACCGGCUAACUACGUGCCAGCAGCCGCGGUAAUACGUAGGGUGCGAGCGUUGUCCGGAAUUACUGGGCGUAAAGAGCUCGUAGGUGGUUUGUCGCGUCGUUUGUGGAAUACCGCAGCUUAACUGUGGGGUUGCAGGCGAUACGGGCAUAACUUGAGUGCUGUAGGGGAGACUGGAAUUCCUGGUGUAGCGGUGGAAUGCGCAGAUAUCAGGAGGUACACCGAUGGCGAAGGCAGG
rnacentral:rRNA from 1 species